rnacentral:rRNA from 1 species
AGUGAACGCUGGCGGUAGGCCUAACACAUGCAAGUCGAACGGCAGCACAGUAAGAGCUUGCUCUUACGGGUGGCGAGUGGCGGACGGGUGAGGAAUACAUCGGAAUCUACUUUUUCGUUGGGGAUAACGUAGGGAAACUUACGCUAAUACCGCAUACGACCUACGGGUGAAAGCAGGGGAUCUUCGUACCUUGCGCUAUUGAAUGAGCCGAUGUCGGAUUAGCUAGUUGGCGGGGUAAAGGCCCACCAAGGCGACGAUCCGUAGCUGGUCUGAGAGGAUGAUCAGCCACACUGGAACUGAGACACGGUCCAGACUCCUACGGGAGGCAGCAGUGGGGAAUAUUGGACAAUGGGCGCAAGCCUGAUCCAGCCAUACCGCGUGGGUGAAGAAGGACUUCGGGUUGUAAAGACCUUUUGUUGGGAAAGAAAAGCAGCAGGUUAAUACCCCGCUGUUCUGACGGUACCCAAAGAAUAAGCACCGGCUAACUUCGUG